rnacentral:lncRNA from 7 species
AUGGGCUGGCGAGGGCUGAGCUGGGACAGGGACUGCUGCGUUGCCUCCCAGCUGCCCUGCCCUUUCUCUUGUCCCUGCAGGCUCCAGUUCAGCUUGUGCCUUCCAGGCGUGAUCGUCCCUGGCUGCAGGAGAGCAGCAAAUGGCCACAGCACAUCGGUGUCAGGAGCCCGUGAGCUUUGCGGAGGUGGCCGUGUAUUUCAGCAGGGAGGAGUGGGCGCUGCUGGACCCUGCGCAGCGAGCGCUCUACCGGGACGUGAUGCUGGAGACGUACCAGUGCGUGGCCUGGCUGGGUGAGGGCUUUGCUGCCUUUCCUCCUCGUUAGGGCUCCUUGGGCUGUGCUGAAUGAGCCUCUGCAUGCCGGGCCUUGAAUAACUGCCAUGCAGUUACAUAUUGACUAACACCACAGUGACAGCACGAAGGAAACACAGAGUAGCAUGAGUUUCAGGAGGCCUUAUUGUGCUCAGCACUGUGAUAAAAGCCUCAGAGUCAGUGCUGGCUAGUAAGCAGCAGCAGGAAGGGGGAUGAUCAGUUUCCUGCAAACAGCCCUUGUGUUGUUGCAUUGCAUGGUGCCACCAGCUGCAACUAAGAGAUGACUCGCUGGUUACUCCUUUAGAAUUUAGGAUUUUCCAUUCAAUUGCCAUAAAUA